rnacentral:rRNA from 1 species
AAGCACUUUUUUAGAACUCUUCGGAGGGAAGAGAGGGUGACUUAGCGGCGGACGGGUGAGUAACGCGUGGGCAACCUGCCUUACACAGGGGGAUAACAAUUAGAAAUGAUUGCUAAUACCGCAUAAGACCCCAGUGCCGCAUGGUACAGGGGUAAAAACUGAGGUGGUGUAAGAUGGGCCCGCGUCUGAUUAGGUAGUUGGUGGGGUAGAAGCCUACCAAGCCGACGAUCAGUAGCCGACCUGAGAGGGCGACCGGCCACAUUGGGACUGAGACACGGCCCAAACUCCUACGGGAGGCAGCAGUGGGGAAUAUUGCACAAUGGGGGAAACCCUGAUGCAGCGACGCCGCGUGAGUGAGGAAGUAUUUCGGUAUGUAAAGCUCUAUCAGCAGGGAAGAAAAUGACGGUACCUGACUAAGAAGCCCCGGCUAACUACGUGCCAGCAGCCGCGGUAAUACGUAGGGGGCAAGCGUUAUCCGGAUUUACUGGGUGUAAAGGGAGCGUAGACGGAAUUGCAAGUCUGAUGUGAAAAUCCGGGGCCCAACCCCGGAACUGCAUUGGAAACUGUAUUUCUAGAGUGUCGGAGAGGCAAGUGGAAUUCCUGGUGUAGCGGUGAAAUGCGUAGAUAUCAGGAGGAACACCAGUGGCGAAGGCGGCUUGCUGGACGAUGACUGACGUUGAGGCUCGAAAGCGUGGGGAGCAAACAGGAUUAGAUACCCUGGUAGUCCACGCCGUAAACGAUGACUACUAGGUGUCGGGAGGCAAAGCCUUUCGGUGCCGCAGCCAACGCAAUAAGUAGUCCACCUGGGGAGUA